rnacentral:misc_RNA from 1 species
GUUUAAGUGGUGUUGAUGGCAAUCCAAAAAGAUCUAAUUCUAGUGCAUGAUAACUGAAAUUGGAAUAAGUGAAUGGAAUAAUUAACUUCAUGGUGAAGAGUUGUAGUUUCUGUCCAGAGCCAGGCCUUUAAGUUGUGCACUAAAUAUUUAGCAUAUUUAAAAUUUUUAUGUUGGAAGUGCUAGUUUAGUUGUUUAAUUGUUACAAUUUGUUUUUGUUACUUGUACGUGGUCUCUUUAUUUUCAUGUUCUGUG